GAUGAACGCUGGCGGCGUGCCUAAUACAUGCAAGUCGAGCGAAUGGAUUAAGAGCUUGCUCUUAUGAAGUUAGCGGCGGACGGGUGAGUAACACGUGGGUAACCUGCCCAUAAGACUGGGAUAACUCCGGGAAACCGGGGCUAAUACCGGAUAACAUUUUGAACCGCAUGGUUCGAAAUUGAAAGGCGGCUUCGGCUGUCACUUAUGGAUGGACCCGCGUCGCAUUAGCUAGUUGGUGAGGUAACGGCUCACCAAGGCAACGAUGCGUAGCCGACCUGGGAGGGUGAUCGGCCACACUGGGACUGAGACACGGCCCAGACUCCUACGGGAGGCAGCAGUAGGGAAUCUUCCGCAAUGGACGAAAGUCUGACGGAGCAACGCCGCGUGAGUGAUGAAGGCUUUCGGGUCGUAAAACUCUGUUGUUAGGGAAGAACAAGUGCUAGUUGAAUAAGCUGGCGCCUUGACGGUACCUAACCAGAAAGCCACAGCUAACUACGUGCCAGCCGCCGCGGUAA
rnacentral:rRNA from 1 species